GAUGAACGCUAGCGACAGGCUUAACACAUGCAAGUCGAGGGGCAGCGGGGGUAGCAAUACCCGCCGGCGACCGGCGCACGGGUGAGUAACGCGUAUGCAACUUACCUAUCAGAGGGGGAUAACCCGGCGAAAGUCGGACUAAUACCGCAUGAAGCAGGGGCCCCGCAUGGGGAUAUUUGCUAAAGAUUCAUCGCUGAUAGAUAGGCAUGCGUUCCAUUAGGCAGUUGGCGGGGUAACGGCCCACCAAACCGACGAUGGAUAGGGGUUCUGGGAGGAAGGUCCCUCACAUUGGUACUGAGACACGGACCAAACUCCUACGGGAGGCAGCAGUGAGGAAUAUUGGUCAAUGGGCGCGAGCCUGAACCAGCCAAGUCGCGUGAGGGAUGAAGGUUCUAUGGAUCGUAAACCUCUUUUAUAAGGGAAUAAAGUGCGGGACGUGUCCUGUUUUGCAUGUACCUUAUGAAUAAGGAUCGGCUAACUCCGUGCCAGCCGCCGCGGUAA
rnacentral:rRNA from 1 species